rnacentral:rRNA from 1 species
GACGAACCGUGCGAACGUUGUUCGGAAUCACUGGGCUUAAAGGGCGCGUAGGCGGGCAAGCAAGUCAGGGGUGAAAUCCCACGGCUCAACCGUGGAAGGGCCUUUGAUACUGCGUGUCUGGAGGGAGGUAGGGGCGUGCGGAACUUCCGGUGGAGCGGUGAAAUGCGUAGAUAUCAGGAGGAACACCGGUGGCGAAGGCGGGUCUCUGGGCCGAUACUGACGCUGAGGAGCGAAAGCGUGGGGAGCGAACAGG